AGCGAACGCUGGCGGCAGGCCUAACACAUGCAAGUCGAACGGAUCCUUCGGGAUUAGUGGCGGACGGGUGAGUAACACGUGGGAACGUGCCCUUUGGUUCGGAACAACUCAGGGAAACUUGAGCUAAUACCGGAUGUGCCCUUCGGGGGAAGGAUUUAUCGCCAUUGGAGCGGCCCGCGUCUGAUUAGCUAGUUGGUGAGGUAAAGGCUCACCAAGGCGACGAUCAGUAGCUGGUCUGAGAGGAUGAUCAGCCACAUUGGGACUGAGACACGGCGCAAAAUCCUACAGGAGGCAGCAGUGGGGAAUCUUGCGCAAUGGGCGGAAGCAGGACGGAGCCAUGCCGCGUGAAUGAUGAAGGUCUUAGGAUUGUAAAAUUCUUUCACCGGGGACGAUAAUGACGGUACCCGGAGAAGAAGCCCCGGCUAACUUCGUGCCAGCCGCCGCCGUAAGAC
rnacentral:rRNA from 1 species